rnacentral:rRNA from 1 species
GACGAACGCUGGCGGCGUGCCUAAUACAUGCAAGUAGAACGCUGAAGAGAGGAGCUUACUCUUCUUGGAUGAGUUGCGAACGGGUGAGUAACGCGUAGGUAACCUGCCUUGUAGCAGGGGAUAACUAUUGGAAACGAUAGCUAAUACCGCAUAACAAUGGAUGACACAUGUCAUUUAUUUGAAAGGGGCAAUUGCUCCACUACAAGAUGGACCUGCGUUGUAUUAGCUAGUAGGUGAGGUAAUGGCUCACCUAGGCGACGAUACAUAGCCGACCUGAGAGGGUGAUCGGCCACACUGGGACUGAGACACGGCCCAGACUCCUACGGGAGGCAGCAGUAGGGAAUCUUCGGCAAUGGGGGCAACCCUGACCGAGCAACGCCGCGUGAGUGAAGAAGGUUUUCGGAUCGUAAAGCUCUGUUGUAAGUCAAGAACGGGUGUGAGAGUGGAAAGUUCACACUGUGACGGUAGCUUACCAGAAAGGGACGGCUAACUACGUG